rnacentral:rRNA from 1 species
AACGCGAAGAACCUUACCCAGGCUUGACAUGCAGAUGACAGCACCAGAGAUGGUGCGUCCCUUCGGGGCAUCUGCACAGGUGCUGCAUGGCUGUCGUCAGCUCGUGCCGUGAGGUGUUUGGUUAAGUCCAGCAACGAGCGCAACCCUUAUCAUUAGUUGCCAACACUUAGGGUGGGAACUCUAAUGAGACUGCCUGGGUUAACCAGGAGGAAGGUGAGGAUGACGUCAAGUCCGCAUGGCCCUUAUGUCUGGGGCUACACACGUGCUACAAUGGUCGGUACAGAAGGUAGCGAAACCGCAAGGUGGAGCAAAUCCCAAAAGCCGAUCUCAGUUCAGAUUGGAGUCUGCAACUCGACUCCAUAAAGACGGAAUUGCUAGUAAUGGUGGGUCAGCAACACCACCGUGAAUACGUUCCCGGGCCUUGUACACACCGCAUAC